CGUUUUCGAACGAUCGGCUGGUACCGAUGAUGUGAGGGCGAUCGAUGAGCCGCCUUUUUCCCCAAAAGUGGGCAUCAUGUGCCGCUGGCAAUGGCGUUUGGGUUCGGAUGUGGCCAUGUGACGGCAAAGUGAGGGAUGGUUCGCACGGAGACUGUCACUGCUGAUGACUUGUGUGUGUGUCUUCAAGAGAUCCACAACGAUGAACACAGUGUUGGAUACCAGCUGUGCUAAUUGCAUUGGCUGCUUGGCAUUGUGGGAAUAGGUAGGCGGGCAUUCAUUGUGCAGAGCGUGGUGGGCACAAAGAAUCACUGCAGCGCUGCAGGAGAUAUAGCUUGUUUGGUACUGAUCUCACAUGGUGUUUGGACUAUGAACAAGAAUAGCAGAAUUAGUGGUAUCAGUCUGUGUGCCAAAAAUGUCUGAGGGUUACAUGGCAACAGAAUUAUUCUCCCAAAUAGUGCCCUAAAACCCGGAAAACAAGUUUGAGGGAUCAGUGGCUACACUAGGAAGGAAUCAUGGACAGCAGCAUUGGUUGGAGGAAACGGAAGGGAGUCUUUGCUUCCACCACACUCCCAAGUAGAUAAGGAUUGAUUUCUUUUAUUUUACUUCUUUUCGAGCAAAUGGCUACUGAUAUAAAUGAGAAGAUGACAAAGAGAGAGGAUCCAAAGUGGAGGGGGUGCUGUGGGGUACGCCAUGUGUUUGAUGUUUUUCCUGUGGGCUCUUACGGUGUCAGAUUUACUUCAUACUUAGUUGUGGAGUAUGCUGGUUGGUGCACCCGCGUGCAAAAGGAAGCUACAAAGGGGGGAGAGCCCACCAACGAGGCGUGCAAAAGUUUGGUUUGAACAAGAAUAGCUUGUCAGAAUUGGAGAAAGAUUCCUCCGAAGAUCAAACCAAUGUGAUGAGUGAUUUAAUGCUGGAGGCUUUCAUCAAUGAGUCUGAAGAGGAUUAAGGGUUAUCAAUUCAUCCAACUGCAGUCUCAGCACAGUAGUCCACAAUUUUGGUUUACAGAUUUUGCAAUGCAACACAGCUGAACUCAAAAAGGAAAAGGAAAAGGGAAGAAAAGAAAGCGCAGAUUAUAUCAAACAUCAAAAAUGUGUUGAUGUCAGCAUGAAGAUCUCCUUUCAUGGUUUAUCUUGAUCCAUUUCCUGCACCAAUGGCCUCAUUCAUUUGCCCUGUUCUCAAACAUGAUACUGGUUUCAUUGUUCAGGCUCGAGGAGGAAGUCAUCAAAGCAGUGAUAGGGGUGAUUUCAGUUGCCAUGUUAGAACUUACGAAGAAAUUUGGGUGAGCUUUGCCUAUGUCAAAUGGGCCAUCUAAAAUUCAGCUCUUGUUUAACCAUGGAGAGAACGAAGCCAACUCACCAGUGUUGCAAGAUUUACAGACCUUCUUGAGGGAAUGUUCAGCGUUGUAGUAUUGUCUCAAUGAUUACAUUACAAUGCUGUACAUAAUGAAGCCUAACGUGUGAUGUGUCUGUGGGAAUCAUUAUGCAUGAUGCUGGUGAAAGUGAGACAUUUGAUGACUGAAUAAAAAUAAAAUGCAUAUCAUUAAUGG